ensembl:lncRNA
GAAAUAGAGUGGUGGAAGGGGCUGGCGGAAGACAGCUGCUCCCCCCAUGGCAGCCAGGAAGCCAAGAGGAGGGAGGGCCUGGGGACAAGAAAACAGCCUUCCAAGGCACACCCUAGGGACCCCCUCUAGCUAGACCCCGCCUCCUAACAACGCAAAAAUCGUCAGUGGAGAAAUCCACUGGUGAGCACAGUGGUACCACAUUCCAAUCACUAGCCAAAAUCCCAUCUCUGAACACAUGAAACUUUUGGGAGUCAUUUUGUAGAUCUAAACCAUAACUAAGAUUCAAUUCAAGCAUUACCUUACCAUAUCAGACUGGAAAGAGAUGUCUCGAGAAUUCCUAAUGCUACUCUGAACCGCAAGACCUGCCGACGUCUAUAAAGCCAGAGAUGUGUAGAACUUAGGGCUACUCUGACAUUGUCACAGUAUCUUCUGUCUGUGUCUGCAAGAAGAUUUGUGAAGCCGAGUGUGUAAGUUAGACAGAACUGUCUUCGUGAAAGGAGGAGGGCUGUGCUUGGCUUGGCCCAAAACUUCUUUCCAGAGGCGCGUGACUGACCAAACACCCACGGCGAGGGGAGUCUGACCCAGGAUCCGCGCAGCGCAC